UACGUAGGGGGCAAGCGUUGUCCGGAAUCAUUGGGCGUAAAGAGCGCGUAGGCGGCCCGAUAAGUCCGCUGUGAAAGUCAAGGGCUCAACCCUUGAACGCCGAUGGAUACUGCCGGGCUAGAGUCCGGAAGAGGCGAGUGGAAUUCCUGGUGUAGCGGUGGAAUGCGCAGAUAUCAGGAGGAACACCAAUAGCGAAGGCAGCUCGCUGGGACGGUACUGACGCUGAGGCGCGAAAGCGUGGGGAGCGAACAGG
rnacentral:rRNA from 1 species